UUAAGUAGAGGUUGCGUUGUUAAUGAGUAUGGCGUUGGAGGCUCCAGAGGCCUGUGAAGAUGUUUGAAAGGUUGUGACGCCGAAGUGAUGUAUGCUGGAGAUACAUUGCUGGGCACAGUUUGAAUAAUUCUGUGACUGUCAUCUUAUGAUGGGGAGCUACGUU
rnacentral:ncRNA from 1 species